UUAAUUAGGAAAAAAAGGUUAGAAUCUGAAGGAAAUUAGUAUGGACAUUAUUUAGUGUUAUUCUUGCGUUGUACUAGUUGUUUGGUUAAGUUUCUCUAUUCUUAAGUUUGUUCGUAUUUGCUUUUGUAGGUGUUCACAACUUCCUGAUUCGAGGUCAAAUCGUUCCAAGGAGGAGAGAGUGAAUACCAAUCCAGGGGUCGAGCCCUUCCAAGGAAGGAAGGUACAAUGCCAGAGGAGAUUGAAGAUAAACAAGUCAAAUUUAGACCAUGCCAUUGGUGGAAAAAGCUUGAAAGAGGCUUGUAAAGAAGUUUAAGAACUCCAACUUGUUCCAGAAUUAAACUAUGAAGAAAUUCUCAAGAAAGGAUAAGAACUUGGUUGGAGUUGCCAUCGCAUCCCAAGCUAGUGCUGUUGCAUUCCAAGCUCUAAAACCCAACCUGGAAGAACAUCUUUGAGAUGCGAAUUCUGGUAAUGCAAGAAGAAUUAACUCAAAUAGCCGUCCACUCAAUCGCUUAAAUUAAAAAUAACCGGUGGAGGUAUAAUAUAUGCAUAAUUUAUGUAUUAUGUGUAUGAUUAUGCAUAAUCUAUGUAUAUGGUUAGAAAAAUAAAUAAAGAAUAUUGCC
rnacentral:lncRNA from 1 species